CCGUGUGUGACAGUUCGAAACAGUUUCUCUUUAUUGGCAGUAGGGACUAUAAAGUCAACGUCUUACAGUAGGUACAGUAUCAGCAGUUUCAUUAGGUACAGUAUCAUUUUCUGUUUAGGUACAGGGCAGUUUAGUGGCAUCUUCAAGCCGCUAACUGUCUAGUCAAGGUAGUACAACUCUCAACGCAGUACUCUCAAGGUAGUACAACUCUCAACGCAGUACUCUCAAGGUAGUACAACUCUCAACGCAGUACUCUCAAGGUAGUACAAUGUAGUACUCUCAAGGUAGUACAAUGUAGUACUCUCAAGGUAGUACAACUCUCGACGCAGUAUUUUCAAGGUAGCACAACUCUCAACGCAGUACUCUCAAGGUAGUACAACUCUCAACGCAGUACUCUCAAGGUAGUACAACUCUCGACGCAGUAUUUUCAAGGUAGCACAACUCUCAACGCAGUACUCUCAAGGUAGUACAAUGUAGUACUCUCAAGGUAGUACAAUGUAGUACUCUCAAGGUAGCACAACUCUCAACGCAGUAUUCUCAAGGUAGUACAAUGUAGUACUCUCAAGGUAGUACAACUCUCGACGUAGUAUUUUCAAGGUAGCACAACUCUCAACGCAGUACUCUCAAGGUAGUACAAUGUAGUACUCUCAAGGUAGUACAACUCUCAACGUAGUACUCUCAAGGUAGUACAACUCUCAAUGUGGUAUUCUCAAGGUAGUACAACUCUCAACGCAGUACUCUCAAGGUAGUACAACUGUCAACGUAGUACUCUCAAGGUAGUACAACUCUCAACGCAGUACUCUCAAGGUAGUACAACUCUCAACAUAGUACUAUCAAGGUAGUACAACUCUCAACAUAGUACUCUCAAGGUAGUACAACUCUCAACGCAGUACUCUCAAGGUAGUACAACUGUCAACGUAGUACUCUCAAGGUAGUACAACUCUCAACGCAGUACUCUCAAGGUAGUACAACUCUCAACAUAGUACUAUCAAGGUAGUACAACUCUCAACAUAGUACUCUCAAGGUAGUACAACUCUCAACGUAGUAUUCUCAAGGUAGUAUUCUCAAGGUAGUACAAUGUAGUACUCUCAAGGUAGUACAACUCUCUACGUAGUACUCUCAAGGUAUUACAACUCUCAACAUAGUACUCCCAACGUAGUACAACUCUGCACAACACAGGGUAGUAGAGUAACAUCCAGGAAUAGUCCAUGUACAGUACAGUAAUACAGUCAACAGAACACUUCAGAGCUGUCUAAAGUUCAUAGCAUGGCUUCAGUACUAAACCCUCAGUAAACCACCAAAACAAUUACUCAACACACUGUUUUAGUUUUAGCUAAGUUUUAGAUUUUAGUUUUGGUCUGUUGUUUUUUUGAAUAAACACUACAAGAGUUGGAAUACAGAUUAAUGGCAACAUAUUUCCUCCGCACCAGCAAGUAUUCAGUGAACAGAUGUCCAGUCCGUACAGUAGAAGAUAAAACCCCCUUUUCCCCUCAGUAGUAGGAACAACACAAACAGCUGUUUGAGGCCUGCACCUCUCCUUGUGCUGCCCUCCAAACAUGUACAUUUCAUUAAAGCAUACAUACAAUAUGUACAGCUUAUAUCAGAUAUAUAAAUAGUUACUACUGUGGUUAUUACGGCGGACAAGGAGAGAACGAAUCACAACAUUCAAGUCCAUUAGUAGUACAUCAGGGAAGAACUCAUAGGCCUGAGUCCUAAACACCACCCUCUUCUCUAGAUAGUUCACUACUUGUGAUCAGAGCUCUAUGGGCCUGCUCAAAUGUAGUGCACUUUAAAGGCUCUAGGGUCCCAUUUGGAACGCAGACCUUUGUCCUCCUGGCUAAUAUGGCCAUUAAGCCCACAUAGUGGAUAGAUACAACUCUACUAACAGUAAACAAUAUGCACGGACGGUUAACGUUUUAUGUGUUCAAAACCUUUUUUCUUUUUUAAUCACAAAUAAUAAUACCAGAUUUCAUCCAUAAGUACAUACAAAAAGUGAAAUGUUUCUCAAUUCAUUGUCACACAACAAACAACCAUCUGUAUCCUCCUUGGUCGAACACUUGCACAUUUUCAGCAGCAAGAUAGAUUCCUAUGUGGUCCUUAUAGAUAUGCCUGUCCACAUGAUGUUUAAUGGUCCUUAUAGAUAUGCCUGUCCACAUGAUGUUUAAUGGUCCUUAUAGAUAUGCCUGUCCACAUGAUGUUUAAUGGUCCUUAUAGAUAUGCCUGUCCACAUGAUGUUUAAUGGUCCUUAUAGAUAUGCCUGUCCACAUGAUGUUUAAUGGUCCUUAUAGAUAUGCCUGUCCACAUUAUGUUUAAUGGUCCUUAUAGAUAUGCCUGACCACAUGAUGUUUAAUGGUCCUUAUAGAUAUGCCUGUCCACAUUAUGUUUAAUGGUCCUUAUAGAUAUGCCUGUCCACAUGAUGUUUAAUGGUCCUUAUAGAUAUGCCUGUCCACAUUAUGUUUAAUGGUCCUUAUAGAUAUGCCUGUCCACAUUAUG
ensembl:lncRNA